AGAUGAAAUACGUACUCUCCGCACAGAUCGAAAUUCUGCAGUGAAGGGGAAGCUGCAACGACUCAAUCCAUUUCUGGACAAGGACGAGAUAUUGCGAGUCGGAGGCCGACUCAGUCAUUCACCAAUGCCCUUCACUCAGAAACACCCAAUCAUUCUACCCAAAUCCUCAGUUACAGCACUCAUAAUCGAGCAUGAACACCUCCUAAAUCUCCACUCCGGAACUCAAGCUACCUUAUAUGCCUUGAGGAGAUCUUACUGGCCUAUCGACGGCCGUAGUCAAGUUUGGAGCACGCUGAAGAAUUAAAGCAGUCCACCUCGAGCUGGUCACCGAUCUCACUAGCGAGGCCUUCAUUGCUGCUCUGCGAAGAUUCAUCGCUCGCCGAGGAUUCUGUGUUACAAUUUAUUCUGACAACGGCACCAACUUCGUUGGCGCCAACAAUGAAUUACGAGAGCUCCAAAACCUCCUGCAGUCCGACGAUCAUAAGGUAAAGAUUCAGUCCUUUUUAGCCGAUCGACGAAUCGAAUGGCACUUCAUUCCUCCCAACUCACCUCACUUCGGCGGGCUGUGGGAGGCUGCGGUGAAGUCCUUCAAACGACAUCUAAGACGUGUCGCAGGUAACGAGCUCUUAACAUACGAAAAUUUGAACACACUGAUCAUUGAAAUCGAGUCUAUCCUCAACUCCCGUCCUCUGACUCCAAUAUCAUCUGACCCAAACGAUCUUCUUGUCCCUACUCCCGGUCACUUCCUCAUCGGAGAUGCACUAACAAGCUUUCGAGAACGAGAUUUCCGAGACACUCCAUCCAAUUGUCUCUCCAGCUGGCAACAUAUUCAAAGGGUCAAACAACAUUUCUGGCGCCGCUGGCAUCGAGAAUACCUGAACGAGCUGAACAUCCGAAAUAAAUGGAGCAAGGGCAGUCACGACAUCCGAGUAGGCACCGUAGUAGUCCUCAGGGAGGAUAACGUACCAUCCAUGCAAUGGCCUUUGGGCCGCGUGAUCAAGGUCCAUCCAGGAGUCGACGGAAUCAUACGGACCGCCAUCAUGCAGACGGCAACAACUACCCUGGAUCGUGGCGUCAAAAGACUGGUCCCCUUACCCAUUCACCCAGAUCCAGACGAGUCCGACCACCCACACGGAGCGAAGGAGAUUCGCCAGCGACGCACCUGACUCCACACCAUAUCAUUUGAUCGGUACCCUCUCAACGGGGGGAGGAUGUUACGCCACGAGGCUUAACACAGGCUGUAUUUUCUAACCGUCACUCGCGGCCCUACAAUGUCUCAGUCAGAUCGUCUUAUCUGACC
rnacentral:misc_RNA from 1 species